rnacentral:rRNA from 1 species
AGUGAACGCUGGCGGCGUGCCUAAUACAUGCAAGUCGAACGGACAGAUGAUGAGCUUUCGCCUCUAACGUUAGCGGCGGACGGGUGGGUAACACGUAGAUCACCUACCUAUAUUACUGGGGGAACUUCGUGAAGCCGGAUCUGAUACUGCAGAAUAUAUUGAACCGCAUGGUGCAAUGGUUAAACGCGCUUUUGCUGUCUGUUAGAGACGGAUCCGGGCCGGAUUAGCUAGUGGGUAAGGUAAAGGCCUACCAAGGCAACGAUGCGUAGCCGACCUGAUAGGGUGAUCGGCCACACUGGAACUGAGACACGGUCCAGACUCCUACGGGAGGCAGCAGUAGGGAAUAUUGCGCAAUGGGCGCAAGCCUGACGCAGCCAUGCCGCGUGAGUGAUGAAGGUCUUCGGAUCGUAAAACUCUUUUAUUAGGGAAGAACAACUGUGUAAGUAACUCCGGACGUUUUGACGGUACCUAAAGAGAAAGCAACGGCUAACUACGUG